rnacentral:lncRNA from 1 species
CAGAGAAUGUCACCUGGCACACACUGACCCAGGCAGGGGAUGUAACCAGCUCUGUUUUGGCCAAAAGGGAACAGGUAUCCUUCUAAAUAUACACACACUCCACGUUAUUUUCAUGUGCAUUCCCUGA